rnacentral:tRNA from 1 species
GCCCCCUUAGCGCAGAGGAUAGCGCAACUGCCUUCUAAGCAGUGGGUCGCAGGUUCGAAUCCUGCAGGGGGCG